UAGGGAAUCUUCCGCAAUGGACGCAAGUCUGACGGAGCAACGCCGCGUGCGUGAAGAAGGAUUUCGGUUCGUAAAACUCUGUUGUUAGAGAAGAACAGCGCAUAGAGUAACUGUUAUGCGUGUGACGGUAUCUAACCAGAAAGCCACGGCUAACUACGUGCCAGCAGCCGCGGUAAUACGUAGGUGGCAAGCGUUGUCCGGAUUUAUUGGGCGUAAAGCGAGCGCAGGCGGUCAAUUAAGUCUGAUGUGAAAGCCCCCGGCUCAACCGGGGAGGGUCAUUGGAAACUGGUUGACUUGAGUGCAGAAGAGGAGAGUGGAAUUCCAUGUGUAGCGGUGAAAUGCGUAGAUAUAUGGAGGAACACCAGUGGCGAAGGCGACUCUCUGGUCUGUAACUGACGCUGAGGCUCGAAAGCGUGGGUAGCAAACAGG
rnacentral:rRNA from 1 species